rnacentral:tmRNA from 1 species
GGGGGCGAAAGGAUUUCGACAGGCUCAAUGAGUCUUGGUCAGCGGGUAGUGGAGUUGCGCCACUUUAAAAGUAACACCUUAAAAUUAACUGACAACAAUAAAACAGUUCUUAAGGCUGCCUAAGCGCGCCUUCGUUCUCUUUAAGUAGUGCCGCGGACUUUCUGAGAGCGUCGAUUCAGCGGCGUCCAUGAACGAAAGAGCGUCUCGGCUUUCGUCAGGUAUAAGAGACUACCGUAGCUGAAAGGCUGUUUGCCGCCGUUCAGCGAGGGGAAUCCAAACGACAAACUACACCCGUAGAGCCCUUGAUAAAUAGGGUUUGGACGCGAGUUCGAUUCUCGCCGCCUCCACCA